GACAGAGGGGGCAAGCGUUGCUCGGAAUCACUGGGCGUAAAGGGCGCGUAGGCGGGAUGGCAAGUCGGUCGUGAAAUCCUUCGGCUCAACCGAAGAACGUCGGCCGAUACUGCCGUUCUUGAGGGAUGCAGAGGAGAUUGGAAUUCCCGGUGUAGCGGCGAAAUGUGUAGAGAUCGGGAGGAACACCGGUGGCGAAGGCGGGUCUCUGGGCAUCUCCUGACGCUGAGGCGCGAAAGCGUGGGGAGCAAACGGG
rnacentral:rRNA from 1 species